CUCCGCCUCUUGGGUUCGGGAGGUGGUUCCAUCUCAGCCGCCCUCUGCCUCUUGGGUUUGCGUGGUUUUUCUGCCUCAGCCUCCUGAGUAGCUAAGGGAGGUGUCUUGAGAUUAUCAUCCGCUGAGGGUGGAAGCGGCCCCCGCAGACGCUCCCCGCAGACGCUCGGCAGGUGUCUUGAUAUUAUCAUCUGCUGAGGGUGGAGCUGAGGGUGGAAAGGGAGUGAGCUGACGCUCGGAAGGUGUCUUGAGAUUAUCAUCCGCUGAGGGUGGAAGGGGAUGGAGCAGACACUCGGCACGUGUCUUGAGAUUAUCAUCCGCUGAGGGUGGAGCUGAGGGUAGAGCUGAGGGUGGAAGGGGAGUGAGCAGACACUCGGGAGGUGUCUUGAGAUUAUCAUCCGCUGAGGGUGGAAGGGGAGUGAGCACACACUCGGGAGGUGUCUUGAGAUUAUCAUCCGCUGAGGGUGGAAGGGGAGUGAGCACACACUCGGGAGGUGUCUUGAGGCUCAGGGAGUUAUCAGUUAUAGAAUGUUGUUGAGUUGGAGGAGGUGGCUGGUGGCCCAUCCUGUUUUUUAAAGUUUCAGCUGUGAGGUA
rnacentral:lncRNA from 10 species